AUUAGAUUAAAAACCAAUGCCCUUCGGGGCUCUCUGGUGAUUCAUGAUAACUUCUCGAAUCGCAUGGCCUUGCGCCGGCGAUGGUUCAUUCAAAUUUCUUCCCUAUCAACUUUCGAUGUUUGGGUAUUGGCCAAACAUGGUUGCAACGGGUAACGGAGGGUUAGGGCUCGACCCCGGAGAAGGAGCCUGAGAAACGGCUACUACAUCCAAGGAAGGCAGCAGGCGCGCAAAUUACCCAAUCCCGACUCGGGGAGGUAGUGACAAUAAAUACUGAUACACGGUUCUUUCGGAUCUUGUAAUUGGAAUGAGUACAAUUUAAAUCCCUUAACGAGGAACAAUUGGAGGGCAAGUCUGGUGCCAGCAGCCGCGGUAAUUCCAGCUCCAAUAGCGUAUAUUAAAGUUGUUGUGGUUAAAAAGCUCGUAGUUGAACCUUGGGCCUGGCUGGCCGGUCCGCCUCACCGCGUGUACUGGUCCGGCCGGGCCUUUCCCUCUGUGGAACCCUAUGCCCCUUCACUGGG
rnacentral:rRNA from 1 species